UCAACCUCUAACCUAUCCGGUAGUCCCAAAUCCUGGGCACCUGCAUGAUUUCCUUCUCCAUAUUUGACUCAAGUAUGGCAGCUAGACGGAGCAGUAAAGGGUCAGGCCUGAAGUCAGGAAGACACAUCUGGCCUUUCCACAGCACUGUAAGGCUUGCGAAGAUACCUGUAUUAUCCUGUUUGACCCUCACAACAUCUCUGGGAGACCCACCCUUCAUUUCAGAGAAUAAAAAAGGAAGAAAGAAAACACCAGAUAAGGCAACUGAGGCACCAAGAGACCAUGUGACUUGCCAGGCAUCACACUUGAAGUCAGGGGACCUGGCUCUAAAUCUCCUCUUUGGGAAAUUCCAUCACCUGAUCUGUGAAAGAUAGAGAAUGACGCCUGAUUCCAUGUCUUCAUCUACAACUGUUUGCCAGAGAGAAUGGACUGGAGAGAGCAAGGCUGGAGCCAGAUUGGAAGAAGCCACGGUCUGCUCAAGAGCCUCAGGCUGCUGGGACUGGACAAAGCCAGCACGGUUUAGGUCCUUGGGGGAGAACUACAUUGGGAGAUGAUCUCAGAAACACCAACUUCCAGGGCGAAGUCCAAGCAGGGCGGUAUUAAGUGGCGUCAGAUGGAUGAGAGAGUUCAUGAAUUUCGUUACUGUUGUAUGGUCUUCUCUGGGCUCUUCAUUUGGCCCUGGCCCGGGACUUCACUUCACUGCGUAGAGCAACGUCCCGCCUUCAAAUUAGGGAAGCAGCAAAUGGGCUGGAGACACAGAAACUUGAGGAGACACACCUGUGGCCAUGCAACAAGCAAAUAAAUGGCAGAUUGGAAUUCAGCCCCAUUUACUACACACGUUGCCUUGUUGGGCUUUUAAUCCUCCUGACCUGGGAUCUAGGAU